rnacentral:rRNA from 1 species
GAUGAACGCUGGCGGCGUGCCUAAUACAUGCAAGUCGAGCGAACAGACGAGGAGCUUGCUCCUCUGACGUUAGCGGCAGACGUGUGAGUAACACGUGUAUAACCUACCUAUAAUACUGGGAUAACUUCGGGAAACCGGAGCUAAUACCGUAGGAUCUAUUGAACCGCAUGGGUGAAUAGUGAAAGUCGGCGUUUCGGUCAGGUAUAGAGGGAUCCGCGCCGCAUUAGGUAGUUGGGAAGGUAACGGCGUACGAAGGCAACGAUGCGUAGCCGAGAUGAGAGGGUGAGCGGCCGCACUGGAACUGAGACACGGUCCAGAGUGAUACGGGAGGCAGCAGUAGGGAAUCUGGCGCAAUGGGCGAAAGCCUGACGGAGCAGCGCCGCGUGAGUGAUGAAGGUCGUCGGAUCGGAAAACUCUGUUAUUAGGGAAGAACAAAUGUGUAAGUAACUAUGCGCGUCUUGACGGUACCUAAUCAGAAAGCCACGGCUAACUACGUG